GUCCUGAACAAAACUGCCCGCACGAACCCACGACCUUCGCUACUCCUCCUCUGCUACCCACGCCUCCCGCAGAUCCCCCGCUCGGCCGCUCCCCGCAGAUCCUCUGCUGCCCCACGGACGCGACCGCGGACUGCCGCCGCCGAUGAUCCCAUCUGAUGGCGGCGCCGACCCAUCCCUGGUGCUGGAUGCGGUGACCUCCGGCAGAGGCGCGCCCGGCCACGCCUUCCCCAGCACAGUCUCGCCGGGCUGCCUCCGCUCCUCCGGCAGCGCCGCGCCCGUUCGCCGCAGCCCGCCGGCGAGGGCACAAUCGAUGCCGACCUGCACGCGCAAGGGGAGGCGGCAGGAGCAGUCGUGCAAGGGCAGGACCAGCCGUGCGGUCAAUCGAGCAAUCCUUUUGCAUCUUGGCCGCCAUGUCCCCCGCCGUCGACGACGCCCGCUGUGGCGAUCUCCGCCCUGGCGACCAGCUCUGCCUCGCCUGCCAAAUCAAAUCUACGAACUAAGGUUGAUUUCUAUGACUUCAGUUCGCUGGUGGUACUGGCAUAACGCUUAUGUUGCAGGCUUCUCCAGAAUGAUUCCUCAUAAGAGAUAUCUCAACCAGUCAUAAGUUAGCCUGAAGACAUAAGGUGCAGAUAUUCUUCCUUGGUAUAAGAGAUACUUUCAACUAAUCACACGUGCAAUGUUACAUUUGAGUAAGGGAUUACCAUGUUCUCUGAAUUUUCUACCCGACAGAUAUGUUCAACUAUAUUUAGAGUAUUCUGAUAAAGGGUUUACCCCCGCUUUAUAUUAUAAAGCAUCCGGAUAUUUAGAGUAUUAUACAUCUCUAAUCUGCAUAUUUGAGACCAACAUGAUAAUGUUCCAUACUUCUUAAGCCAUUUUGGUGCCACCUAUUGUACCAUCAUUUUUUGCUUCAGGUAUUGUCCUCAUUUCCAAACAAUUCCAUUGUCUUCGCUUCUCUACUCACAUGUGUUUUUUAGUCUUCCUCUCACUCUUUUGAGCUUCUACAGAACUGAUGUCUGACUGCUAUGUUUACCCUUCUGAAUAAUACCCUUAUCAAGUUUUCAGCUUUUAAUGUAAAACUGUAACCAAUUACCGAAAUUUUGGAGUUCUUUUUCACCUUUUCUUGUCCGGUUGUGGAUAAAAAAAACUUAUGCUGAAUCAUUGCGUCUCCAGACGAGCAGUGCAGAUUUGAGAGUUAGGUUAUUUGUCAAAAGUUUUCCGUUUUAUCCAUACAAUAGUAAAAUUAGUUUUACAUAAUUUGAAUGUGUGCUCGCAUGAGCUUGUAAACUUCUCUCGUGUGUCCACACAAGGGCGGAGGGAAGAUUCUUUCUGUGAAGAAACCUAUUUUGUAUGAAGUUGUAGUUGAUUUUGUCGGACUGGGAAGUGAUGGAUGCACCAAGUAGGUGGUCUUUAUUUCUGGGAUUAGAAUUUUCAAAAGGACUGUUUCUUCUCACCUUGAUCUUGUGAUCUAAUGAAAUUUAUUCCUGAUUUUUAUCAGGGACACAACAGUGAAGAUGUUUUUGAAUUUCGUGUUGUAGCUAAAUGGUGAAGUUUUCAUGAAUUCAUGUUAUGAAUUGGUUCUCACUUUUUUUAUCAUAACCUUUUAUUAUCUCAUGAUUUAUUGAAUUUUUUGUUUUUUCUAUUGAUAUUUCUGUUUGCAAAACGAUUAUUAGAUAUUGGAGAAUUAACGAGGUAUGGCUACUGCCAAGCAUGCUUUCAGAAGUACACGAUUCAAGAGAUUUUCUAUUUUGGCAGAAGUUGGUGUGCCUACUGACAAGUGUGCUCUGAAAAUUAGUCAAUUACUGCACCAGCUGGACUUAUAGAUCGGUUCACAAGGUUCUUUCUGGACAGUAGUAAUGGUUUUAAUACAUUUAAAACAUGUAUGGUUAUUUGAUUCAUGAACAAAACAAAUAUAUUCUCUUUUGAGCUUUGAGCAUUUCACAUAUGACCAUUGUACUGUUGCACUAUUACUACGACCUAUGUGAAAGGUAAAUAAACCUUUCAGCAACAUAUGUUGGUAUAAUUCUCUCCCAACUAGCAUUAUAUGCCAUAUAUAGUUUUUUUUUUUACCGAAAUGUUAGGAGCCUCGUGUAUAAGGUAUGCAGAAAUUCUCACUUUGGGGAAGUGAUUAAUUCUUCAUGUGCAGUAACCUGGAGAGAUGGUGCUGGUGGAUUCUAGCCGCAAGUCGAAGACAUGCAGUUGCUUGCCGUCGAUGAAGCGACAUCAACAUGGGUAGCUGAUCCAGUCAUCUGUUAGUCUGUUCGUCUUUCUUCCUUGCACUUUGUUCUUCAGUCAUGUGUUGGGCAUCCUUCCCCAUGCUACUGACUCUAUGGUGUCGCUGGCCCAUGCUUCUGACUCUCCAGACAUAUACUCACUCGUUAGAAAUCCCAUGGCAAUUGCUUUCAUGUGAAUUUUGGCCCUUGUCCAGAUGGAGGACUUGGCUUCUUCAGUGAGGAUAAUUCAAUACUACACUUUGAUUCAAUAGAGUGCGAGCUUCAUUCGGGUUUAAGUGCGUUGCUGCUGGUCGCCUCUUGUGAUUGUGUACAGCUUGCUUCUGACAUAGCCAAGAUUAAAGGAGAGGGGAGGCAUUGCUGAUGGCUUGGAACUUUUUGGUGCAUCAUGCUAUGCGACUAAGGUCACCCUGACAGACACUUGGUGAGAUGUUUGAAGCUGCUCAUAGUAUCAUGACCUAGCUUGGAGACUGUGCCAAGGCUGAAGUUUUCUUUCUUGGGCAACUAAGGCAGAAGAACCUGGUGAAAUUGGUUGGGUAGUGCUACGAGCAUGAACACCGGAUGUUGGUGUACAAAUUCAUGAGCGUUGGGAGCCUUGAGACGCACCUCUUCAAAAGUGAGUUCUUCACUGCUUUCUGUCAAUUGAUCAUUCCAAGUAUUAGUAUGUUUGGUGGUUCCUGAGACCAGCAAGAUAAAGAAAAAUGUUACUCCCUCCAAUACAAAAUAAGUGUCGUGGUUUUAAUUAAAAUUUGAACUAAAACCAUGACACUUACUAUGGAUUUGUAAGAGUAAUUCAGAAUUCUGAGCACGUACGAGUGCCAUCUGGUCCAUUGAUGAUGAACUGUUCUUGUCCCCUUAACUUUCUUUUCCAUAAGUCACAAGUCAAGAGGAUAGCUGAGCUCUCUCUCCCUUCCAAAGGGACUACACUUUCUCUUUUUAAAAUCAGAUGAAUGUAAAUAUUCGAUAUUUACUAAAAAGGGAUACUGGAUAUUUUGGAUUGAAAAUUUACUUGUCCGACCAGCUUCUUGGUACUUGUAAGUUAGUACAACUCUUGGUCAAUGUGGAUGAGGAAACUGACCUGAAACAUCCUAUUUCCUUCACGUAUAAAUGGCUCCCUCCUGCGGAUGAUAAGGAUGAAGAUCGCCGUCAGCCCAAGGGCCUUAACUUUCUCCAUGACGCCAACCUGCCGGUGAUCUACAAGCAGGCCUUCAACAUCUACUGGACUAGGGUCAGUUUGAGCCUUCACGAGCUCGACAUCGGAGCCAGCACUCUACAUGCUUAUCGACGCGGUGGCCAUCGAGGUCAAACUUGUCCGGAAAUACUUGUCGGAGUAAUGGAUGUAUCUAUACGCAUUUUAGUUUUAGACACAUCCAUUUUUAUGCAUUUCUUCGACAUGUACUGUGAUUUGUGAAGACGUGCGUUGCACGUACACGCUAACUAGUAAUUUAGAAUUAGAAAAAGUUAAAUUACAAUUCAUAAAAUUAUUUUAGGUAUACAGCAUUUCAAUAAUUAUAUGCACGUUUGUAUAGUUCAA